rnacentral:rRNA from 1 species
UACGGGAGGCAGCAGUGGGGAAUAUUGCACAAUGGAGGAAACUCUGAUGCAGCAAUGCCGCGUGUGUGAAGAAGGCCUUAGGGUUGUAAAGCACUUUCAGACGUGAGGAAAAGUUAUCUAUUAAUACUAGAUAGCCCUGACGUUAACGUCAGAAGAAGCACCGGCUAACUCCGUGCCAGCAGCCGCGGUAAU